AUUGAACGCUGGCGGCAGGCCUAACACAUGCAAGUCGAGCGGUAGAGAGAAGCUUGCUUCUCUUGAGAGCGGCGGACGGGUGAGUAAUGCCUAGGAAUCUGCCUGGUAGUGGGGGAUAACGUUCGGAAACGGACGCUAAUACCGCAUACGUCCUACGGGAGAAAGCAGGGGACCUUCGGGCCUUGCGCUAUCAGAUGAGCCUAGGUCGGAUUAGCUAGUUGGUGGGGUAAUGGCUCACCAAGGCGACGAUCCGUAACUGGUCUGAGAGGAUGAUCAGUCACACUGGAACUGAGACACGGUCCAGACUCCUACGGGAGGCAGCAGUGGGGAAUAUUGGACAAUGGGCGAAAGCCUGAUCCAGCCAUGCCGCGUGUGUGAAGAAGGUCUUCGGAUUGUAAAGCACUUUAAGUUGGGAGGAAGGGCCGUUACCUAAUACGUUGCUACUUUGACGUUACCGACAGAAUAAGCACCGGCUAACUUCGUGCCAGCAG
rnacentral:rRNA from 1 species